GAUGAACGCUGGCGGCGUGCCUAAUACAUGCAAGUCGAGCGAACAGACGAGGAGCUUGCUCCUCUGACGUUAGCGGCGGACGGGUGAGUAACACGUGGAUAACCUACCUAUAAGACUGGGAUAACUUCGGGACACCGGAGCUAAUACCGGAUAAUAUAUUGAACCGCAUGGUUCAAUAGUGAAAGACGGUUUUGCUGUCACUUAUAGAUGGAUCCGCGCCGCAUUAGCUAGUUGGUAAGGUAACGGCUUACCAAGGCAACGAUGCGUAGCCGACCUGAGAGGGUGAUCGGCCACACGGGAACUGAGACACGGUCCAUACUCCUACGGGAGGCAGCAGUAGGGAAUCUUCCGCAAUGGGCGAAAGCCUGACGGAGCAACGCCGCGUGAGUGAUGAAGGUCUUCGGAUCGUAAAACUCUGUUAUUAGGGAAGAACAAAUGUGUAAGUAACUAUGCACGUCUUGACGGUACCUAAUCAGAAAGCCACGGCUAACUACGUG
rnacentral:rRNA from 1 species